UACGUAGGGGCGAGCGUUGUCCGGAAUCAUUGGGCGUAAAGCGCGUGUAGGCGGCCCGGUAAGUCCGCUGUGAAAGUCCAGGCUCAACCCUGGGAUGCCGGUGGAUACUGUCGGGCUCGAGUCCGGAAGAGGCGAGUGGAAUUCCUGGUGUAGCGGUGAAAUGCGCAGAUAUCAGGAGGAACACCAAUGGCGAAGGCAGCUCGCUGGGACGGUACUGACGCUGAGGCGCGAAAGCUAGGGGAGCGAACGGG
rnacentral:rRNA from 1 species